ACAUCUGAGAAAACUUUUUGUUUGUCUGCCAUAACCGGAGCAGCAUGUCCCAGAUAGAAGCUGUUCCAUCAGCCUCAUUUCCAGAAUGAAGAGGAAUGAAUGGAAAGCAGAGAUGCAGUUAAAGCAUACUGGUUUUACCACACUUGGAAGUAAUCUCUCACCUUCUGAACAACCAUGACAUCCCUCCAAAAUGUCCAUCCCCCACUGGUGGUUACUCUGAAAUAUUACUCAGUCUACUGAGCAGUGAAAGUUGACUCAAGGUAGAAGAAAAGGCAAUGCAGAGAAAAGAAAUUGCAUGAACAAUGGCAUGGAUGUUUUGGAGAGAAAUGAGUGGAUUGGUGUAAUGAAGCAUGCACUAUGACACAAAAAUGAGUAAGAGUUGUCAGGAAAUGUGGCUCGAGUGGUAAGAGUGAACCAAGGUUCUAUAUAAACCCAUAAACUCACACUAAGCAAUGGGAACUCCACCCUUUAGCAAUGGGCUGUCAGUGAAGACGCAGAAAAUUCACUGGCAGCCAGUUGGAAGAUAGUGAGGGAUAGCUGUUGGAAGCAGGGAGAAUAAUUUAGACAGUAGUGAUGUUCCAGAAAAGAGGCUGAACACUGAAACAGAGGUGAGCAGGGAGAAAGUUUAAAGAUAUAGUCUCAUUCAAUUUAUAAGUUUCUAGUCCUGAUGAAAUACUCCGAGUCAAAGUGAAGAAAUGGAUGACGAGGAUGUGUCUUACAAAAGAGAAGAGAAACAUGUGACAGCUUUAGGUGAAUAAAAAAUUUUCAUCUUAUGAAAAAGAUGACAUUCAUUCUUGGGAAGAUGCAACUCUAAGGCCCUGAGCUCUUGAUUCAGAAUACAUGGAUUUAAAACUACUCUUGGAGUUCCCAUUGUGGCUCAGUGGUAUUGAACCCAACUAGUAUCCAUGAGGACAGGGUUCAAUCCCUGGCCUUACUCAGUGGGUUUAGGAUCUGGUGUUGCCAUGAGCUGUGGUGUAGGUCAUAGACGUGGUUCAGACCUGGCGUUGCUAGGCUGUGGCAUAGGCCAGUUGCUGCACUUCUGAUUAGGCCCCUAGCCUGGGAACUUCCAUAUGCUACAGGUGCAGCCCGAAAUAGAAAAAAAAAAGGGGGGGGGAGAGGGACUGUCAUGAGGAUUAAAUGAGAUAAUGCAUGUAAAACUCAAGAGUACCUGGCACAUCUUAAAGCCUCAAGAAGAAUCACACCUUAGAAGUGGUAGUAGACAUUACCAACCUCCAAAGAUGCAUUGACAGCCAAUUCAUCCUAUUUACCCUAAAACAUUCAGAUUAUCUGUUUUGCUUUUUUUUAAUGGAUGUGGAAUCCCAAGAGGAUCAAUUAAACAUAGAAGCAGUCCAUUUUUAAAAGAAAGUCUUUUUGUUGCUGUUGUUAUAUUCAAAAAUUUAUUCAAUCAAUGAAAGAGAAAGAGAUCAAUGUCUUGAGAAAGUUUUGCAGUGGGCAUCGUCUUGCUUUCCCGAUCUCAACAUCCCCAGGAGGGUUUAAAGAUUCUUGACACCCAGGCAAACACAAAUCACAUCAGCAAAAAAGCCCAGCUUAAUGAAAUGUCAUGGGGACACUGCUUAUAACAAUCAUAUGCCCUGGAUGCCAAAUGGAGCUGUACCUGCUGGCAAAACAGUUAUAGGGGAAAAGAACAAAAGCCUGCCAGCUGUUAAGAAAUAGAACAGAAUGAGGCUCAGGGCCCUAGGGGAAGGUGGAAAAUUAACACAGCCUCUGUGUCUUACUUAUGUUUUCCUUACCACUGUGCUUUUCUUUUCUGGAUUUAAAAUUGUGCAUUGCCCACUAGGUGGGGGCUCUUUUAGAAAAGUAGCAUUGGACCUAGCCUGGACAUUGCAAAUUUGGAGAUCAGGGUGGGAAUAAGAUUGUAUAGAACCAGGGAUGAGGUGUACCUUGCAAGGCUUUAUAGCUAUUCUUAUCAUUUGCUUUAUUAUUUCUCCCUGAAUUCACUUUUUAUUCCUCUGUGGCCAGUUAACUUACCUUAGGCUUCUGCUCAUUCAUGUCUCUCUCAAAGGAAAGCAUGUAUGAGACAUCAUCUCUAAAUAGUUCAUCUAAAAUUUUUCUCUCUCAAAUCUCCCAGGGAUUUUCUUGCAUUACCCCACUUCAUUUUCCUUACAGCAUGUAUCUGUUUAUAAGACACCAUUCAUUCAUUUUUUUGGAUUGUUUACUGAUCUGUUAUUUGUCUUGCCCUCUAUGAUGCAAGUUCCAUGUGAACACAAAGCAUGUAUCCCUGCUCUGUGUACCACUGGAACCUCAGCCAUCACUGCAAUAUCUAGCAUACAUUCAAUGCUUGAGAUAUAUGCAGACUGAAUUUUUUGACCUAUAAGCAUAAAUUAUUUUUGAUGCUGCCUGGCACACCUACUUUAUGUCCUACUCUCAGAGAUUAUUUAUUACUUACCUUCUCCAUUAGCCUCAUUGUUUACUUUAAUUAAAGUUGCUUUUAUAUUUUUGUCUUUUAGUCUUUGCGCUGUUUAUAUAUAUUUUUUUUACCUCUUUGAGCAUUAUGAACAUACUGCUAAUUUUGUCACAUUCAUCAUUUCCGAGUCUAUGUCUUUAGACUGCUUUUUCUCUUGGUUAUUGCAUGCCUUUUUAUAUACUUGAUUUUGUGAAUUUAUUAAAAUAAAACUUUAUUGACAUGCAGUCACACUCAUUUGUUUAUAUAUUUAUCUACUUUAUUUAUUUUUUUAUCUAUUUUUCCUUUUUAUGGCCACAUCUGUGGCAUAUGGAAGUUCUUGGGUCCGGGGUCGAAUCAGAACUGCAGCUGCUGGCCUGCACCACAGCCACAGCAAUGCCAGAUCUGAGCCACAACUAUGACCUAUGCCACAGCUUGUGGCAACACUGGAUAUUUACCCCACUGAGCAAGGCCAGGGAUCAAACCCACAUCCUCACAAACACUAGGCUGUGUUCUUAACCCACUGAGCCACAAAGAGAACUUCUGUAUUUCAUGUUUGGAUUGCUCUUUUUUUUUUUUUUUCAGUUGAGUAAAGACUUGAAGAUAUAUUUUUCCUGAGGUUUUAUUUUAAUCUUUUUUAGGAAGAUCUCUAGUACCUUUAUUAAAGGACUGAUUUUUUUUUUUUUUUCUUUUUUGAGGCCUGUAGAAGUUUCCAGGCCAGGGAUUGAACUUGCACCAAGCCUUUACCUGAACCACAGAAGGGACAUUGUCAGAUCAUUAAUCACCAGGCUACCAGGGAACUCCCUAAAGGACUAAUUUAAUCUCAUUUUACAUCUUUGCUUUCUGGGUCAUCUACUGAAUGCUUGCUUAUUCGAGAAGAUAUUUCCACUUUAUCUGGAGGAAAGAUAAAUAUUUCCCGGCUCUGUGUAAGCUCUGGAUAUUGUUUUUCUUAUUGUUCUAUGGUUAUUAUUAUUUCCUUAGUAUUUUUUUUUCCCUUGCUCAGAACAGUAAUGCUUUACUCAUUAACAGAUUUGUAGACAAGCAGAACUUUGUCCAGACCUAUGGACCUCUCAUUCAGCUUCAUUAUCUCUUCUCUGGAUGUCUUUUCUGCAAAUUCUAGCUAGCAUGACUUUCCUAAACUCUGAUCUCUCGCUACUCAUCUCAUUGAGAUCACUGUCUAAUGUGUGAUUUACUACCACCUCUCUGCAGCCUGGCAGUUGCCUCUAGGCAGUAACCCAGGGCCAUCAAGAGAUCACCUCCUUUUGUUCCUUUGUUUUUUUCCUGAAAUUAUCAGGGCUGCACUGAUAUUUUCUAAUGUCUGAAAGACAUUAGUUUGUAUAUUUAGUCUGAGUCUCCAUUUGUUGGAGAGAAAGCUCUUUAAUAGUUCAUGAAUGGAAAUAGAAGCCCACUCCUUUUUUGAAACACUUUUCUCCCAACCUGGUGUUAGUGACACUGUACCCUUUUAUUUUACCUAUUACCACAUAAGCUGGAUAAUGAAGCUUGCCCUCUAAGCUCUUCAGUAUAUUAUUCCUUGUAUAUUAUUCCUUACAGUGACAUAAAAUAACACAGUUAUUGGAGGAAGAAUUUAUCAAGUUGUUGUCUUUUGCAUGUUGAACAUGCAAAAAGUAUUCAAAUAAUAAAAUAAUUUCAAAAAUUUAAAAAGCAUAUUCCUCAUAUUUUCAUAAUUGGACAGCCCCCCACCAAAUGGUGAAAUCUGUGAAUUUUUUCUUUGCAACCUCCUGGAUCAUCAUGCCACCUCCUAUCUGCUAACGCCCCUCACCACUCCUGCUGAAGAUUCAGCCACCUUGGCCUGUUCUUAUCUCAGAAACCAGCUUUCACAUUUUUUUUUUCUUAAACUGAUCUUAUUUCCAAUGAGCCUAGAUAGUUCCUAGUGCAUUUCUACAUACAUAUAAGCUGUAACUUUUACUGAUAAUAUUACAUUUGAAUAAGGACAUUUCCAUUUGGAUUCUUCAUUAGACACAAGAUCAUAUCCUGGUCCUACCAUACCACAUAUAUCUGCUGAUUUUUUCCUAUAUGACAUGGGACAAGUCAAGUAACUUUACCUAGCCUUAGUUUAUACAUUCACAAGCACAAGCUUAAAAGCCCCUUCAUAUUUUUGAUUAAAAGUUUAUGAAUAUAGAAUGAUCAACAGAUAUCUGGAAAAGUGUAGAUGUUCAUUACCUCUGGGUUUCUUUGUUCUUUGCAAGUAUUCUGAAAACUUCACCAACCUUUGAAUUUAAUCUAGUCUCACAUUACUUGCGUUCAUGAACCAUCUUUCCCAUAGUUAGUUACAGGAAGGAUUUUAAUCUGUAUCUUACUUCUUCCUUUGUUUCAGCCUUAGCUCUUUAUUUAACUGCCAGGUUUCCUCCUUAUUUGAAAUAUUAGGUAGAAAGAACACAUAUUAAAUAUAAAGAAUAAGGCACUUGAUUUUUCUUUAAAGGCUUAGGGAAACCAAAAUACUUUUGAUUGUCAGCUUAGAAAACCCAUAGUGACAGAGGCUUCAACUGGGUUAAGAACUUUGAGAUCAUAGUUGCAUGACCCAAAUUUCCCAAUACCUAGAAGGUGUAAGUACCUGUGUCUUCAGGACACGUGCUCAUUUUGAACCAGCUAAAUUGGCUCAUAAUGAAGGUCUCUGCCCUUGUUCCAAGUGUAUUUUUUUCUUAGUUUAUCUUUCAAUUGAACUUGACCAGAGCUGCAUAAGCUCAUAUAUUUGACCACCCUCUGAUACUAUAUUCACUGCUGACAAAUAUGUUAGGAAAUUCCAUACAGCAGGUAAAAAAUGUCAGAUUCAGUAAACGGUCAUUUUACCCAUAAACUGUAUCAUCUUUUAAUCUUAUCCUCAAAUCAAAUUAUUUAAGCAUAGCUCCCUAAGGACAGGCAACUAAUGUUGAGUAUAUUUUACUCAAAGCCUAUGUCAACCAACCAAAACAUGAUAAUCAUAAUAAAAUGGCUUAAGAAACUUUCCUCUUAAGCAUGCAGUAUGUAAAUUCUUAUCUAUUGAACUAGAAAGUAGGACACUCCACUUUCUGGGUUAAG
rnacentral:lncRNA from 1 species